rnacentral:rRNA from 1 species
GUGGGGAAUCUUGCGCAAUGGGCGAAAGCCUGACGCAGCCAUGCCGCGUGAAUGAUGAAGGUCUUAGGAUUGUAAAAUUCUUUCACCGGGGACGAUAAUGACGGUACCCGGAGAAGAAGCUCCGGCUAACUUCGUGCCAGCAGCCGCGGUAAUACGAAGGGGGCUAGCGUUGCUCGGAAUUACUGGGCGUAAAGGGCGCGUAGGCGGACAGCUUAGUCAGAGGUGAAAGCCCAGGGCUCAACCUUGGAAUUGCCUUUGAUACUGGCUGUCUUGAGUUUGGGAGAGGUGAGUGGAACUCCGAGUGUAGAGGUGAAAUUCGUAGAUAUUCGGAAGAACACCAGUGGCGAAGGCGACACACUGGCUCAUUACUGACGCUGAGGCGCGAAAGCGUGGGGAGCAAACAGGAUUAGAUACCCUAGUAGUCC